GAAGCCAAGUAAUAUCUAAUACAGUUCAAUCUGGCUCUUAUCGCUGAUUAUCCCUAGAUAUGUUCAUCUCCACUCUUACAAGACUGUCGACUUGGGUUCUACACACUGCCCUACAUGAGUUGUCGAAUGUACUGCACCCCUAAUCUUGGCUGAUCUAGCUCACCGAUUUCUUGACCCUCUGCUUUGCCCUGACCUUACUAUCUUGAAGGUGUGUGAAGAGCUGGAUCAUGAAAUAAUGAUCCUAGUGUUCUGCAAGCAACUGAAACAUCUCUCUGGGAGCUUUUCAACAUUUUUGGCUUAGACUUGACAUGACAGCCUGUCUGGCAUAGUUGGGAUGAUUUAGAAUAGUGCUUCUCAAACUUCCAUGUGCAUGUGAAU